GUCCACGCCGUAAACGAUGGGUGCUAGAUGUCACGGGAUUUGACCCCUGUGGUGUCGUAGCUAACGCGUUAAGCACUCCGCCUGGGGAGUACGGCCGCAAGGCUAAAACUCAAAGGAAUUGACGGGGGCCCGCACAAGCGGUGGAGCAUGUGGUUUAAUUCGACGCAACGCGAAGAACCUUACCUGGGUUGGAAACCCCCUGGAAUCCUGCAGAGACGUGGGAGUGCCCCUUCGGGGGAGCCGGGUGUUCAGGUGCUGCAUGGCUGUCGU
rnacentral:rRNA from 1 species